UAGCCAGCAGCGCUGCUGCUUCAAGUAGGG
rnacentral:sRNA from 1 species